UGUGACUAUAGAAGGGUGGUCAACAAUGAGCACCCCAGCGUAUACAAAAACCAGAAGAAAAAAGAGAGAAAGCAAGCAAGUAAGAAAGGGAGAAGUAGCUUUUGUCAUGGCAGGCUCCAAGAUGGCAAGCUCCCUGUGUUUGGCCGCUCUCGUGGUCACGGCCGUUCUAUCAUCAUGUGUUGCAGAGAACGAAGGGUGCUUGCCGCUGAAGGGGUACUGCCCUGAAGACGACUGCAAGGAUUUCUGCAUGAGAAGUCGAUUGAGAGGCCGUUGCAUCACCAAAGGCACGAUGCCCUACUGUUGUUGUAGUAGGGAUACUACCCCUAACUGGACGACGGCUGCUACUCCUUUUCAGGGUUGAUGAGGAGAUGGGGACAAACGCCAUGUAGCAGGUGGAUGUAUGCAUGGUAAUAAGAUAAUAAAUUUGAUUAACUAGGCAGUUGUGCAAGUGGUUCAA